rnacentral:rRNA from 1 species
UACGUAGGGUGCGAGCGUUGUCCGGAAUUAUUGGGCGUAAAGAGCUUGUAGGCGGUUUGUCGCGUCUGCUGUGAAAAUCCGAGGCUCAACCUCGGACUUGCGGUGGGUACGGGCAGACUAGAGUGAUGUAGGGGAGACUGGAAUUCCUGGUGUAGCGGUGAAAUGCGCAGAUAUCAGGAGGAACACCGAUGGCGAAGGCAGGUCUCUGGGCAUUAACUGACGCUGAGGAGCGAAAGCAUGGGGAGCGAACAGG